UAUAUUUAACCUUUUGAUUUCUUCAUGAACAUAAGCUACAGGGUUCCCAAAGAGAGAAUGAGAAGCUAGCUAGGGCCAUAGGGAAACAGUCCUUAUUACUCAGCAUUUAGCAUUUGCUUUAUUUUAUCACCCUGCUUAUUGUCAUUGAUACUUGCACGCAAUGUGUACUUUAAGCACACACGCCUGCGUUAAUUGGCAUAGAAUUUGGUAUUUCUCUCGUCAAUUUGUGUAGGUUUGAAAUGUUAAUAUGAUUCAGACAAAUAUAGUUAUGAUGGUAUCCAUAUUAUUGUCCUCACCGGUGUUCUAAAAUGAGAGUAGUUGCUGUAAAGUAACUGUAUGAGGAGUGUGCGAACGCUACAUAUGUUUUGAGUGUGAGAUAAAAAAGUGCUCAGUUUGGGAAAUUGGAUCUUUUGAAACUUUCUGCAAACAAAAACAAAACAUACAAAAAGUUGAAGUGAACUCGAAGCCAGAUGGGACUGUUUGGGUAGGAAUUCGUUGAUCUGGAGGAGUUGCAUUGGUAGAUAAGGGUAUAGUACAAUGAGGCUGUCACACUUUCUAUUCGGUUGCCCUUCUGUCACACAUACUAUAUAUUAAGCUACUUUUGGUUGAUGUAUAUAAUGAGACAUAAAUAUAAAAAUAUAGACAUUAAAAAUAUGGAUAUAAAAUAUUUGUGUU